rnacentral:lncRNA from 1 species
GCUUUUCUCUUUCUUCUGCUUCUUCACAGGCUGUUUCUCUUCUUUCCUGAAGACUUUCUUUUGAAAGAAUGUGCCGCUCCACAACAAGAACGGAGCCCCUUGAACUCUUCAAUGUUUCCUCCGUAGUAACCAACAUAUUGACAAGUUCAAGAAAAGUGCAGUCUAACUUGUUCACAUAAUAGUUUAUAAUAAAUUAUCU